UACGUAGGGGCAAGCGUUGUCCGGAAUCAUUGGGCGUAAAGAGCGUGUAGGCGGCUCGGUAAGUCCGCUGUGAAAGUCCAGGGCUCAACCCUGGAAUGCCGGUGGAACUGUCGAGCUAGAGUCCGGAAGAGGCGAGUGGAAUUCCUGGUGUAGCGGUGAAAUGCGCAGAUAUCAGGAGGAACACCGAUGGCGAAGGCAGUGUUCUGGGCCAAGUACUGACGCUGAGGAGCGAAAGCGUGGGGAGCAAACAGG
rnacentral:rRNA from 1 species